rnacentral:ncRNA from 2 species
AAUGUAAAUUAAAUACGUCGUCGUAUAAUGUCGGGAAUAAGGCCCGUGAGUUUCUACCAAGUUACCGUAAAUAACUUGACUACGAUUUGGGUUUAUCUAUGU